rnacentral:misc_RNA from 1 species
GAUAAGAACGCAGCGAAAUGCGAUAAGUAAUGUGAAUUGCAGAAUUCCGUGAAUCAUCGAAUCUUUGAACGCACAUUGCGCCCCCUGGCAUUCCGGGGGGCAUGCCUGUUCGAGCGUCAUUACAACCCUCAAGCUCUGCUUGGUAUUGGGCUCUGCUGGGACCGGCAGGCCUUAAAAUCAGUGGCGGCGCCACUCGGCUUCAAGCGUAGUAAUUCUUCUCGCUUCGGAGACCCGGGUGCGUGCUAGCCAGCAACCCCCAACUUUCUUAGGUUGACCUCGGAUCAGGUAGGGAUACCCGCUGAACUUAAGCAUAUCAAUAAGCGGAGGA